rnacentral:rRNA from 1 species
GUCUACAACCAUGCCACUCUGAACAUGCCUGAUCUGGUCUGAUCUCGGAAGCUAAACAGGGUCAGGCCUGAUUAAUACUUGGAUGGGAGACCACCUAGGAAUACAAGGUGCUCCAGGCA